rnacentral:rRNA from 1 species
CGGGUUGUAAAGCUCUGUCGAGUGGGAAAAAUGGUACCCAGAAUAAUACGCUGGGUAAUUGAUGGUACCACUAGAGGAAGCACCGGCUAACUCCGUGC